GGGCAUUUGGUCUAGUGGUAGGAUUCUCGCUUUGGGUGCGAGAGGUCCCGAGUUCAAUUCUCGGAAUGCCCC
rnacentral:tRNA from 3 species